AAAGUAGGAUAAUUUUUUAAUCUGUAAGGUUCAUACCCUUUUGAUACUUUGUGUCUUU
rnacentral:tRNA from 1 species